rnacentral:pre_miRNA from 1 species
UAUGUACUCCCUCCGUUCGGAAUUAUUUGUCGCAGAAAUAGAUGUAUCUAGACUUAUUUUAGUUCUAGAUACAUCCAUUUUCGAGACAAUUAAUUCCGAACGGAGGGAGUAUCAG